GCCUCCUUAGCUCAGUGGAAGAGCAGCGAGCUUCUACCUCGUCGGUCGAGGGUUCGAAUCCUUCAGGGGGCA
rnacentral:tRNA from 1 species